UACGGAGGGGGCUAGCGUUGUUCGGAAUGACUGGGCGUAAAGGGCGCGUAGGCGGCUUUUUAAGUGAGGCGUGAAAGCCCUGGGCUUAACCCAGGAGGUGCGUUUCAUACUGAAGAGCUUGAGUACGAGAGAGGAAAGUGGAAUUCCUAGUGUAGAGGUGAAAUUCGUAGAUAUUAGGAAGAACACCAGUGGCGAAGGUGGCUUUCUGGCUCGUAACUGACGCUGAGGCGCGAAAGCGUGGGGAGCAAACAGG
rnacentral:rRNA from 1 species